UGGCAGACACUCACUCCACAGCACACCCUCCUUCCCAUAAAGUGGUGAUGGCCUGAAUUUCUGGCACAGAUACUGGUGUCUGAGUGCUCCUACCAUAAAGCUGGAUCUGUGUCCCCAUGGAAAAUUCCACAUUGCAGAAAGCGGGGCCCGCUGAGCAGGAAUGCACGAGCGGAGCAUCAGGAGACCUGGCUUUGCCGUUCGGCAGCCCCAGGACUGUGGAGAGGGGAAAGGAAGGAGAAAGAAAAGGAGAGGAACAUCGAUUGGCUGCCUUCUGUACGUGCCCGGACCGGGGACCAAGCCUGCAACCCGGGCACAGGCCCUGGCUGGGAAUCACACCGAUGACCUUUAGGUUUUCUUUAUUUUCAGAGAGAGGGGAAGGGAAGGAGGAAGAGAAGGAGAGAACCAAACAUCGAUGUGGGAGAGAAACACCAGUCAGUUGCCUCUCACAUGCCCCCAGCUGGGGACCUGGCCCGCAACCCAGGCACGUGCCCCAGCAGGGACUCGAACCGGCAGCCCUUCGGCGUGCAGGCCAGGGCUCAGUCCAGUGAGCCCCACCAGCCAGGGCAGAAACCAAGUUUUCAACAAUCCAUCCCAUUAGCUCCUGGAGCACCUGACACCCACCUUAGGGCCACAAAGAGAGUCCUCCGAACGGCAACAACACCCAGAAAACAGAAAAGCUGCCUGGGAAGCUAAGUCCUGAUCAUGUUUGCACCGGGAUCAGGCCGUGCCUGAAGCUACCCCUGGACUGUGUAGUUACAAGAGCCUAAAAUUCCUGUUCUGCUGGAGCAACGGUAGAUUGGGGUUUCUGUGACUUACGACCGAGAGAAUCGUAAAUGACACGUGGCAGAGCUGUCCAGACACACACCCGCGGUGACUGCCCCACCACCACUGCUCACGUCAAAAGCCAAAGGCACCUUCUCACCAAGAAGGGUUGGCCCUAGGCCCCACCUGGCCCAAGACCGCGGACGCCCGCACCCACUGGCACACACACAUGCCGCAGACAGCACUGGGUGGGUUUUUAUUUUAACGUCAAAGGCACAGCCCCCCAGGUGAACGGAGGCAGUGACUGUAGAAGCCCAGCCCAGACCCCCAAGGCCCCGCUCCCACCACCCAACGGGGCGGCUGUGCCAAAGGGAAGGGGUGGGUAAUAAGGGGGCCUCCCCUUUUAGGAGGUCACCUGCUUCCUUCCUUAGCCCCAACAGGGGAGAAGCAGGUGAGAUAAAGUGAGGAAAUAAUGCUUCAGAGGGUCCCUUAGGGCCUCUCCCUGAACGCCACCCCCCCAACACAGGUCUUUGGUGGAUGAAAUUGCACAGACAAUCCAUAAAGUGACAGCUUGAGGGGCGUCCCCUCCCAAGAGCAGAGCCUUGGGGGAGGACAGGGGAGAGGUCCCAGUUUCUCCCUGUGGCAACUCAGUGCUUAGAAAUGGGGAGGAGCCCUUCCCUGCUGGAGGGGCCCCCUGCAGAAGCGCCUUCCACCAACAGAGGCAGUCUUAGCAAAGGGCCCCCACAUCCCACUCAGCGGUGGGCCCCCUCCCUCCCUGCAUCUCUAACUCUAUCUGGUAAGACAUAAAAAAUUCUCUGCUUAUAAAAA